GGAGAGGUGACCGAGUGGUUGAAGGAGCCGCUUUCGAAAAGCGGUGUGCCGGCAACGGUACCGAGAGUUCGAAUCUCUCCCUCUCCG
rnacentral:tRNA from 1 species